CUGGACAUUCAGAUUCUGUGCCUCGAAUAGCUGAGUCUGGCACUUCUCCACUGACUCCUGGGGAUUUCUGAAUUAUUAAUGGGUUAAUUGUUAUUAUUUAUUUGAAUUUUUACGGUUUUCAGGUGAAGGUCAAUGAGAAUUUCUCGUAAUUUCUUCUCUAAGUCGUUGAUAUCGUCGAAAUUCUCGUUAUAAUCCAUCAAAAUUUUGGUUUUAAAUUUUUUGAAAUAUCAAGAGGUGGGAGAAAGCGGCGGGAGUCAUCCAUUUUGUCCGCCAUUUUGAUUCGCAAAGAGUGUAAGUCAUAACCCAAUUUUGUUCGCCAAUUUGUCACACUUAAUUCUCUCUAGAUUGUUUUAACAAAUUGUCCCAGUUAAUCAAGACAGCCAACAGUGUUUCAUAAUUGUAAAAGUGUUUUCGAGUCUUCUAUUUGAACAGAAGGAGAUGACUAACGUCAACAAAUCGAAGGCCACACGUGUGUAAGUCAUAACCCAACUUUUUCCGCCAUUUUAUCAGACUUUAUUCUCUCUAGAUUGUUUUAAAAAAUUAUCCCAGUUAAUCAAGACAGCCAACAGUGUUUCAUAAUUCUAAAAAUGUAUUCGAGUCUUCUAUUUGAACAGAAGGAGAUGACUAACGUCAACAAAUCGAAGGCCACACGUGUUUCUGCAUUCCAGAUGGAGAUACAAUUGAUUUUCGUUUUCCUGUCAACGUUAUCUCUAGUCGCAGGAAAUUUCGAUUUCUGUUAUAUGUUACAUUACAAUGCGCAAAUGUGUAAACCUGCGAAUUCGUCGGUGCUGAUGAAUAUUUAUCGAGGACGUGUCAACGAAUCUGUUAUACUCAUAAACAAUUCAUCCCACAUAGAUGUGGAAAUGUAUCCAGACUCCACUGUCAACAGAUCGACCUACGGGAUGAUGACCUUCACCGAGGAUUCCUUCAAAGAUCUCCAAAAGCUCAGGUCGAUCCGCCUGUCAGUUGUGGAAUUCCAGGGGACACCAAGUCCUUUCGUAAAUCUCCAGUUCCUGGAGAGUAUCGCCUUCCGUGACAACAAUCUCUCCGAAUUUCCUCGGGAAUUCUUCAGAGGAAUUCCACACUUGAAGACGAUUUCUGUAUACGAUCAGGAGAUCAGGAAUUUACCCAAGAAUUCGCUGGACGAAGUUGGGGAUCACCUGGAGAAUCUGGAGCUGAAGAAGCUUCAGCUGGAGAGUAUAGAGCCAGGAGCUUUCUCAAGGUUGAGUCACUUGAAGAAUCUGAUUUUGGAUGACAAUCAGCUGCAGGCUCUAGGGCCUGAGAUUUUUGAAGGUCUCGGUCACCUGGAGACUCUCCAGGUGCAAAAAAAUCAGGUGAAGUCCAUUGAACCUCGAACUUUUGAUGGGUCCCCUCGUCUUCGUGAGUUAAAUCUGGAGUUCAAUUAUUUGGAGACUCUACCAGAUAAAAUUUUUCAUCGUCUCGAGAAUCUGAAGACUCUUUUGCUCUAUCACAAUCAGAUAAUCAAUAAAUUCUAUGAUCUUACUGCAGGAUUGAAGAAUUUAACUGUCUGGUCUUUCGGAGAAAUUACAAAACAUACAUCUGAGCUGUCCGUCGUCGAUCCGCCGGAGAUAGGAUCUCUAAUCAGAAUAAUUUAUCUCAUGGAAAAGGAAAAUCCUGAGAUGUAAUGGAAAAUUUUAACCUUCUUCUUCAAUGUAUUAACAUUAUUAUUAUCUCAACAACAGUGAGGAACUAAAUUCAGUGGCCAGGAAAUAUCCGCCAUUUAAUCCUUCGAGUGCGAGUUUGAGUGAAGAUUUCAAGUGAAUUGGGAUUUUAGAACAGGAUCACAGAA